GGCAAAGCUAAAGGGGCUGGCACCGCAGCAGGGGUGCGGAGAGGGACUGGGGGCGGGCCAGCCCAGCGGGCAGCCUCGGUUCCUGACUCCUGGUCUGUGCUUGUGGGCGGCCUGAACCACCUCAAUCCGGACAAUUGCCAAACCCACCCUGGGCUGUAGCUGGGAACCGGUUGUGGCUCCUGCCAGUCUAGACCCCGGGGAACAAUUUAUGCACGUGACCCAGCCACCUAAGACUCUCCUGGCCCAGGUCUGGAAUGGAGUCUAUGACCUAUGUGAGGAGAGUAUGAAAAUAACAAAUAGAGACCCUGUAGCCUAAGGAUCAAGAUUCUAGUUAUCCUCAUAGUCCAGAGGGUCGGACAAGAGGACCAGAAGUUCAAAGUCAUCUUCUGCUGCAUAAAUCUGAGGCUAAGCUAGCUCCAUGAGACCUUGCCUCAGAACCCCAAAGAGACCUUUUCAACCUAGCUUCUUUGGGCCUAUAUGGUGGAGGUGGCCGCAACCAAGAGAAAACGAUAUAUAGAGAAUGGUGUUGGCUUUGUUCUGGCAAAACAGAGAUUCAGACAAAGGCCAGAAGAUAAUGGUGGUGCUCCUGAAUAGAGGUCCCCUGGUUCAAACGUCCAUCUACUGGAACAAGGUCAAUGAUCCUCCAGGGACUCUCAACUCCCUAUCUACGCACUCUCUACAGCAAAACAUCCUGUGCUUGGGAAAGUCUGAGCUGAACCCAGCUCCUGUGGCUUCUGCUCAAUCUUAGUUCCUUGUUUGCAAGAAUGAGAGGCAAACAGCAAGCCUUGUGCAUCUUUGUAUAGAUAGAAAACAACCCUCCCAACCCCCCAUUUUACAGUAUUUGGGUUUGGCUUUUUUUCUCUUUCUUUUCUCUUCUCUUUCUUCUCUUCUCUUCUCUUCUCUUCUCUUCUCUUCUCUUCUCUUCUCUUCUCUUCUCUUCUCUUCUCCUCUCCUCUCCUCUCCUCUCCUCUCCUCUCCUCUCUUCCUCUUCCUCUUCCUCUUCCUCUUCCUCUUCCUCUUCCUCUUCCUCUUCCUCUUCCUCUUCCUCUUCCUCUUCCUCUCCUCUCCCUCUCCUCUCCCUCUCCUCUCUGUGGGAAGCCAACUCCAAGAUGGCGCCGGUUUCCGGUUGCCGUUGUCAUAAACAACACCACUGCGCAGGCGUCAAUUCGAAUUUGGGGCCAACCCCUCCCAAGCGGGUGCAUGCAAAUUGGGUGCUGGCAGACUGACCAACCCCAGGGGGCCACGGAGCCUUCUCCUGUGCUGGGGUACAUAUAAGCAGGGCUCCCUGGGCGCCUGGGGUCCCCGUAGAAGCAUCAAGGCGAUCCUGCAAUAAAGGCUGUUGAGAAGAA
rnacentral:lncRNA from 1 species